GGCAGAAUAGCUCAGUUGGAUAAGAGCAUCUCGCAUGUAAUAAGAAGGUCCUGGGUUCAAUCCCUGGUUCAACCA